AACGAACGCUGGCGGCAGGCCUAACACAUGCAAGUCGAACGCCGUAGCAAUACGGAGUGGCAGACGGGUGAGUAACACGUGGGAACGUACCUUUCGGUUCGGAAUAACUCAGGGAAACUUGAGCUAAUACCGGAUACGUGCGAGAGCAGAAAGAUUUAUCGCCGAAAGAUCGGCCCGCGUCCGAUUAGCUAGUUGGUGAGGUAAUGGCUCACCAAGGCGACGAUCGGUAGCUGGUCUGAGAGGAUGAUCAGCCACACUGGGAUUGAGACACGGCCCAGACUCCUACGGGAGGCAGCAGUGGGGAAUAUUGGACAAUGGGCGAAAGCCUGAUCCAGCCAUGCCGCGUGAGUGAUGACGGCCUUAGGGUUGUAAAGACUCUUUCGUCCAGGGACGAUAAUGACGG
rnacentral:rRNA from 1 species